rnacentral:rRNA from 1 species
UACCAGCUGGCUGCAACUGUUUAUUAAAAACACAGCACUGUGCAAACACGAAAGUGGACGUAUACGGUGUGACGCCUGCCCGGUGCCGGAAGGUUAAUUGAUGGGGUCAGCGCAAGCGAAGCUCCUGAUCGAAGCCCCGGUAAACGGCGGCCGUAACUAUAACGGUCCUAAGGUAGCGAAAUUCCUUGUCGGGUAAGUUCCGACCUGCACGAAUGGCGUAAUGAUGGCCAGGCUGUCUCCACCCGAGACUCAGUGAAAUUGAACUCGCUGUGAAGAUGCAGUGUACCCGCGGCAAGACGGAAAGACCCCGUGAACCUUUACUAUAGCUUGACACUGAACAUUGAGCCUUGAUGUGUAGGAUAGGUGGGAGGCUUUGAAGCGUGGACGCCAGUCUGCGUGGAGCCGACCUUGAAAUACCACCCUUUAAUGUUUGAUGUUCUAACGUGGACCCGUAAUCCGGGUUGCGGACAGUGUCUGGUGGGUAGUUUGACUGGGGCGGUCUCCUCCUAAAGAGUAACGGAGGAGCACGAAGGUUGGCUAAUCCUGGUCGGACAUCAGGAGGUUAGUGCAAUGGCAUAAGCCAGCUUGACUGCGAGCGUGACGGCGCGAGCAGGUGCGAAAGCAGGUCAUAGUGAUCCGGUGGUUCUGAAUGGAAGGGCCAUCGCUCAACGGAUAAAAGGUACUCCGGGGAUAACAGGCUGAUACCGCCCAAGAGUUCAUAUCGACGGCGGUGUUUGGCACCUCGAUGUCGGCUCAUCACAUCCUGGGGCUGAAGUAGGUCCCAAGGGUAUGGCUGUUCGCCAUUUAAAGUGGUACGCGAGCUGGGUUUAGAACGUCGUGAGACAGUUCGGUCCCUAUCUGCCGUGGGCGCUGGAAGAUUGAGGGGGGCUGCUCCUAGUACGAGAGGACCGGAGUGGACGCAUCACUGGUGUUCGGGUUGUCAUGCCAAUGGCACUGCCCGGUAGCUAAAUGCGGAAAAGAUAAGUGCUGAAAGCAUCUAAGCACGAAACUUGCCCCGAGAUGAGUCUUCCCUGAGACUUUGAGUCUCCUGAAGGAACGUUAAAGACGAUGACGUUGAUAGGCCGGGUGUGUAAGCGCAGCGAUGCGUUGAGCUAACCGGUACUAAUGAACCGUGAGGCUUAACCUUACAACGCCGAAG